UACAGAGGUGGCAGGCGUUGUUCGGAAUUACUGGGCGUAAAGGGCGCGUAGGCGGCCCGUCAAGUCCCGUGUGAAAGCCCCCGGCUCAACCGGGGAACGGCGCGGGAAACUAGCAGGCUUGAGUUCGGGAGAGGGAAGCGGAAUUCCGGGUGUAGCGGUGAAAUGCGCAGAUAUCCGGAGGAACACCGGUGGCGAAGGCGGCUUCCUGGACCGACACUGACGCUGAGGCGCGAAAGCUAGGGGAGCAAACGGG
rnacentral:rRNA from 1 species